AUUGAACGCUGGCGGCAUGCCUUACACAUGCAAGUCGAACGGCAGCACGGGUGCUUGCACCUGGUGGCGAGUGGCGAACGGGUGAGUAAUACAUCUGAACAUGUCCUGUAGUGGGGGAUAGCCCGGCGAAAGCCGGAUUAAUACCGCAUACGAUCUACGGAUGAAAGCGGGGGACCUUCUGGCCUCGCGCUUUAGGGUUGGCCGAUGGCUGAUUAGCUAGUUGGUGGGGUAAAGGCCUACCAAGGCGACGAUCAGUAGCUGGUCUGAGAGGAUGACCAGCCACACUGGGACUGAGACACGGCCCAGACUCCUACGGGAGGCAGCAGUGGGGAAUUUUGGACAAUGGGCGAAAGCCUGAUCCAGCAAUGCCGCGUGUGUGAAGAAGGCCUUCGGGUUGUAAAGCACUUUUGUCCGGAAAGAAAUACUUGGCCCUAAUACGGUCGGGGGAUGACGGUACCGGAAGAAUAAGCACCGGCUAACUACGUG
rnacentral:rRNA from 1 species